AAUAAUUGGAGUCAGUGUGAAAACUCAGCCUUUUGGCAAAGUUGAACUCGUAAGCUGGCAAACAGCUUCAGGAGACAGUGGACUCCAAUUAGAAUCAAGGAGUUGGCUGCAUAAGCAGAUCAAAGGCUUUUUGAAAGAAAGGGAUUAUUUCCUGAAUGCUUCAAGUGCAUAGCAACAUGAUGUAAUUCGUAACAUAAAUGCAAUUCCUGGAUGUUCCUCUUAUCCAGAAGCUUGACAGGAUGUGCAGCUACUAUGAAUGGACUGGUGGUAUUUCAGCAGGGAGGCAGUGUUCCACUGAGCAGCACCAGCCCUGUAACGCUGAAGAUGUGCCAGACUUGGGCAAUAAAAGGGACCUUGUUCUACUUCAGCUCCAGCCUUGUCCAGCAUCAUGCAGUGACACUUGGAGAUCUUCCAAGAACUUGUGUCAAGGCUCUGCUGGAGCGGAGAACAAAGUAAGCUAACUACUACCCAGCUUUGUGCUGUACCAAAGCUGUUCCCAUGUGUGCCAGUUUAGAAAGUUACAACUGAAUAUAAAAACAUUUUAAAGCAUCUCUAUCCAAAGACAUAUAUGAAAUGCAAGCUGCUGGUUUUUCCCACUACGAAAUUUAAAUGAAGAUUACAAACAGCAGAUGAAAUUUGGUUUAAGAGAGUACCAAGGAAGGAGGAAAAGAUCAUUCCAGAAGCUACAGAUAGCAACUUCUAAACGAGUCACAUGGGGCUGGAGACUCCAUUCACUGAACUGUAGCCAUGAGACUCCAACUGCAGGGCCAUGGCACUACC